CAAGUACUCCCUCCAUCCGGAAAUAUUUGUCGGAUGAAUUGAUGUAUCUAGACGUAUUUUAGUUAUAUGCACAUCCAUUUUUAUGGAUUUCUUUGACAAGUAUUUCAGGACGGAGGGAGUACUAG
rfam:Triticum aestivum genome assembly, contig: Triticum_aestivum_CS42_TGACv1_scaffold_223262_3B